rnacentral:rRNA from 1 species
GGACCUGACUGCUAUCGGAUUGAUACUAAGCCAUGCGAGUCUUUGUAGUAAUACAAGGCAUACUGCUCAGUAACGCGUAGUCAACCUACCCUAUGGAUGGGGAUAAUCUCGGGAAACUGAGCAUAAUACCCAACAGAUCAUCAACUCUGGAAUGAUUGAUGAUUCAAAUGAUUUAUCGCCGUAGGAUGGGACUGCGGCCUAUCAGUUUGUUGGUGAGGUAAUGGCCCACCAAGACUAUUACAGGUACGGGCUCUGAGAGGAGUAGCCCGGAGAUGGGUACUGAGACACGGACCCAGGCCCUAUGGGGCGCAGCAGGCGAGAAAACUUUGCAAUGUGCGAAAGCACGACGAGGUUAAUCCGAGUGGUUUCUGCUAAAGAAACCUUUUGUCGAGUCCUAGAAACACUGAUGAAUAAGGGGUGGGCGAAGUUCUGGUGUCAGCU